rnacentral:rRNA from 1 species
UACGAAGGGUGCAAGCGUUACUCGGAAUUACUGGGCGUAAAGCGUGCGUAGGUGGUGAGUUAAGUCUGAUGUGAAAUCCCCGGGCUCAACCUGGGAAUGGCAUUGGAUACUGGCUUGCUAGAGUGCGGUAGAGGGUGGUGGAAUUCCCGGUGUAGCAGUGAAAUGCGUAGAGAUCGGGAGGAACAUCUGUGGCGAAAGCGGCUCACUGGACCAUAACUGACGCUGAUGCACGAAAGCUAGGGGGAGCAAACAGG